rnacentral:snRNA from 1 species
AUGCAAAAAAUACUGCAGGAGCAACGUAAUUGGAAUCAUACAGAGAAGAUGCUCAUAGCUCCUGUACUAGAAUGAUAUGCAAAUUUGUGAAAGCAUUCCAUAUUUUU